AUUCUAACAAUAUAAGAGUUACCUACAUUAUACUGGUUACCUGCAUACUAAUGCAUGCAUUUUUUUAUCUUGUUGUAAUUGUGUUUAUAACCCCAUGCAUGCACUUUAAAAAAUAAUUUUUCAUCAUUUCAAAUGUAGAACAACAACCAGUGACUGAGAGAGAUGGGAGGAAGAAGAAAGCUGGAAGAAGGCUGGACCCCAUGACCCUCAGGAGCACGUGAUCCCUUUCAACAAUCUAUCAUACAACAAAAAAUUCUUCUUAAGGAUCAACCCAGAUGAGGGCACCAGGUGCACUGCUACAGUGGGUACAAGCUACAAGACGGGAAGAGUCGUCCAAAGAAAGGUGACGAGCAUCAGCUCCAGAGUCACCACCUUCCUCCAACGGCUCACCGAAUUUGAGUGGAUGACAUCAAACUAGUCCAGUAUGGACCACCUCACCAGAGCAUCUCUGGAUUGGAGGCUCCAUCUUGGCCUCUCUGUCCACCUUCCAGAAGAUGUGGAUCAGGAAGCAACAGUACUAUGGGUCCGGCCUUCACAAAUCCUUCUAAGCAGACUGUUCCUCCUUCCAAAGCCCAACAACUUCAGCUUUGUGGUAACAACCACACCACAUUUUGUAUACAUUUGCAAAUACAGGUUAUUUAGUUUUCUUCGGGAUUUAAAAUGUUCAAUUCGUUUUGAGAGUCAAUUCAAAUGGUAACUACAUUGUUCAGACUUGUAUUUGCCUCUGAAUGCUGCCCAGUGUUUUGGCGCAUAUUUAGACAUCGUUUUAGUAUCACUUGUAUGUCAAUUGUCUGUUCUUUUGCACUUUCAGAGUUAAAAAAUAUCUUGUUCCUGAUGUUUUUACCUGAAAAUAAAAAUGUAUUACUUUUGUACAUGGGCUAAAGUCAAUUAUUUGGAAUUUAUUAAAUUCAAUAGAAUUUAUGUAAAAUAUUUAAAAUUGUUUGUACAGCCAAUGCCAAAUAGUGUAAUACAUUGUGAACCACAAUUACAAUAAAACUAUAAUACAGCAAGACAAUUUCAGUAUUAUUUAGCAAAUUGUAAUUAUAAUAUGAUUACUGUAAGGGUAUUAUACAGUAAAACUAAGUUACAGUAAGGGUACUUUUUCUACUGUAAA